rnacentral:rRNA from 1 species
CCUGAUGCAGCGACGCCGCGUGAGGGAUGACGGCCUUCGGGUUGUAAACCUCUUUCAGUAGGGAAGAAGCGAAAGUGACGGUACCUGCAGAAGAAGCGCCGGCUAACUACGUGCCAGCAGCCGCGGUAAUACGUAGGGCGCAAGCGUUAUCCGGAAUUAUUGGGCGUAAAGAGCUCGUAGGCGGUUUGUCGCGUCUGCCGUGAAAGUCCGGGGCUCAACUCCGGAUCUGCGGUGGGUACGGGCAGACUAGAGUGAUGUAGGGGAGACUGGAAUUCCUGGUGUAGCGGUGAAAUGCGCAGAUAUCAGGAGGAACACCGGUGGCGAAGGCAGGUCUCUGGGCAUUAACUGACGCUGAGGAGCGAAAGCAUGGGGAGCGAACAGGAUUAGAUACCCUGGUAGUCCAUGCCGUAAACGUUGGGCACUAGGUGUGGGGGACAUUCCACGUUUUCCGCGCCGUAGCUAACGCAUUAAGUGCCCCGCCUGGGGAGUACGGCCGCAAG